CUUCAUUUAGAGGAAGUAAAAGUCGUAACAAGGUUUCCGUAGGUGAACCUGCGGAAGGAUCAUUAACACGUUAUCCACGUAUCACCAACCGAGAACCGUUAAUUUCUACCUCUGUGAAGAAUGAACAGAAACCUGAUAGAGUGAUUGGAAGGGUCUGCUUCGCGGCGCCUGGCUCUAUGCGUUACUCAACGUCGCAAGGCGUUGUACUGUUGUAUCUGAAUCGGGAGGCAUCUCUGGGCGCACAACUCUCCUUCCAUGAAGUGCGCGCCUGGAAACUUAUUAUAACAAUUCUAACCCCUUUUUGCUAGUUGACUUUUAUAUGUUGUACUGUUUGCUCUCGGGCAGCAAUGCACACGUUUAAUUAUUUGAACGUUAAAAAUACAACUCUUAGCAAUGGAUAUCUAGGUUCUC
rnacentral:misc_RNA from 1 species